ACGCAAUUCUUUUCAUCCACCACUGUCGCAUAUGUAUAAAACGAAGCGUUCGUUGGAGCAGUUCAGGCAAUACCAGACAAGGAAGCGAGGACGUCAACAACAGCUGCUUGAUUCACCUGAACGACGUUCACGGCCGAAAAGUGGAAAUCCACACACAGAACCUGCAACGACAAGAGCCUAACGAAGUGUGAAAACACAGUAUCAUACCACCGAUCAAAGCAAUCUUCACCAGCAUGGUUUCCUUGAGGGUUCUCGUCUUGAGCUCAGUUCUGAGCCUCAGCCUUGUUCUCACAACGGUGUCAGGCGCUGGUACCUCGACAAGCGCAGAUUUUUUCACUACGAUUAACAAGGAGCUCAAACAAAAAGUGUCAGAAAAAUGUUACAAUGGCGUGGUCUUAGUGGAAAAAUCGGAGAAAGUACCUAACGACCAGGCAAAUGCUUGUAAAGUUGUCAAGACACCCGAUGGGAAAGCGGUAGUCAAGAGUGCGGGUUGUACCGAGGAGGAUUACGGUGCCCUCAAGACACUUGUGUGCAGUAGUCCUGCUGCCUUGACCGGAAGUAUCAUCAUGCUGGUCAUCCUGACUGUCUGUCACCGCGUGUUUUGAAAGUCUUUGAUUCUGACCCCGUGAUAACUGAUAAAAACAUCCAAAAGCUGGAACAAUCAACCGACAACUUUUUUAACAAAUACUAUUUCAAUAUUUUAACAAAAAUCCACUUUCAUCACUGCGUAAUAUAUUACUUAUUUCUGCUUCAAAUGUCUUUAUCUUGUUUGAAUGAGGCACAGAGGCCAUGAAAUCGCAACACGCUCACAUUACAAAAAAGAACCGAAUCAACCGGCCUGCUAUUUUUGACACUUCUCUUUAAAACACAAAUUGAGCAACGAACUUUACAUCAAAUAAACUGUUGCCCAAUCAGUGGCGACACUCAAAUCAC